AAAACCUGUUCAACAGAUUCCAGCAAAGGCCCAGGUUGCAAUAUUUGUUGUUCUUGCAAUGACUCUUCGAAGGAAGCCAGACAUACUUAUUAACCUUCUACCUAAACUGAAGGAUCCCAAAUACCAAGGACAAGAAAAACUGCAUAUCAUUGUAUGGGUUAUUGGCCAGGUGUGCCAAGGAGAUUUGGUUGUUGGAAUGUUUUCAUGGGCACAUUACCUGGUACCUCUGGUCCUUGGAAAAUCAAGCAUUAAUCCACAGUCUAGGGACCUUGUGCUGCAGUUGGUUGAGAGAAUUUUAUCUGUGCCAAAAGCUCGAGCUAUUCUGCUAAAUGGUGCUGUCAGAAAGGGCGAACGACUGGUGCCACCUUCUGAAUUUGAUCUGCUGUUGCGAGCUGCUUUCCCUGCUCCUUCUGCUAGGGUCAAGGCUACCGACAGAUUUCAAGCAG
rnacentral:misc_RNA from 1 species